AUACGGAGGAUCCGAGCGUUAUCCGGAUUUAUUGGGUUUAAAGGGUGCGUAGGCGGCCUUUUAAGUCAGCGGUGAAAGUCUGUGGCUCAACCAUAGAAUUGCCGUUGAAACUGGGGGGCUUGAGUAUGUUUGAGGCAGGCGGAAUGCGUGGUGUAGCGGUGAAAUGCUUAGAUAUCACGCAGAACCCCGAUUGCGAAGGCGCCCUGCCAAGCCAUGACUGACGCUGAUGCACGAAAGCGUGGGGAUCAAACAGGAUUAGAUACCCUGGUAGUCCACGCAGUAAACGAUGAUCACUAGCUGUUUGCGAUACACUGUAAGCGGCACAGCGAAAGCGUUAAGUGAUCCACCUGGGGAGUACGCCGGCAACGGUGAAACUCAAAGGAAUUGGCGGGG
rnacentral:rRNA from 1 species